CCUACGGGGGGCAGCAGUAAGGAAUAUUGGACAAUGGGCGAAAGCCUGAUCCAGCCAUGCCGCGUGAGUGAUGAAGGCCUUAGGGUUGUAAAGCUCUUUUAGGUGGGAAGAUAAUGACUGUACCACCAGAAUAAGCCCCGGCUAAAUUCGUGCCAGCAGCCGCGGUAAUACGAAUGGGGCAAGCGUUGUUCGGAAUCACUGGGCGUAAAGCGUGUGUAGGCGGUUUAGCAAGUCAGAAGUGAAAUCCCAGGGCUCAACCCUGGAAUUGCUUUUGAAACUGCUAAGCUAGAGUACUGGAGAGGUUAGCAGAAUUCCGAGUGUAGAGGUGAAAUUCGCAGAUAUUCGGAGGAAUACCAGUGGCGCAAGCGGCUAACUGGACAGUAACUGACGCUGAGACACGAAAGCGUGGGGAUCAAACAGGAUUAGAUACCCCAGUAGUC
rnacentral:rRNA from 1 species